rnacentral:misc_RNA from 1 species
CACCAAUCACGCCUGGCGUGGUAUUGGGCGACGGGGCCGUCACACGCCCCGCGCCCCAAUGACUCCCCGGCGGGACGGACCGUAUCUCAGCGUUGUGCAAACUGCCGCUGGCGAGACGGGCUCGGCCGUGCCGUGAAAACCCUCAAUUUUUAUUCA